UGGGGGAUAUUGCACAAUGGGCGAAAGCCUGAUGCAGCGACGCCGCGUGGGGGAUGAAGGCUUUCGGGUUGUAAACCUCUUUCGCUAUCGAACAAGGCCCGCUUAGGGUGGGUUGAGGGUAGGUGGAGAAGAAGCGCCGGCUAACUACGUGCCAGCAGCCGCGGUAAUACGUAGGGCGCGAGCGUUGUCCGGAAUUAUUGGGCGUAAAGGGCUUGUAGGCGGCUUGUUGCGCCUGCUGUGAAAACGCGGGGCUUAACUUCGCGCGUGCAGUGGGUACGGGCAGGCUUGAGUGUGGUAGGGGUGACUGGAAUUCCAGGUGUAGCGGUGGAAUGCGAAGAUAUCUGAAGGAACACCGAUGGCGAAGGCAGGGCACUGGGCCAUUACUGACGCUGAGGAGCGAAAGCAUGGGUAGCGAACAGG
rnacentral:rRNA from 1 species